AGUAGUAGCAAAAUAUGUCAUUUUUAGUUGAUGAAUAUUCGACCUUGCUGCAGUUUUUCCAGCGAAUUGCUUUGUCUGUUGAACCAUUCUAUUCACUUCGGUUGCAAAGAUGUGGCACCUCAAACGCAGAUACCUCUUAACAAUGUUUAUGGAGUGGUUGUGGCAAAGCGGUAAAUUAUACUUUAAUGUGUCAACACACUGGAGUAUUUCCUUGGGGUCAUUUACUUGUGAAUUUUUGUUACAUUUACACCGAAAUAUUGUUUCAAUUUCUUGCAUCAAAUGUAACAUAGUUUCGGAAGGGUGGCAAAGGUAAUUAGUUGAUGGUAAGCCACUGAGGUUGCCAUUUCCAUCGUAAGACUUUAAACUAGUUAAAAGAGAUGCAGUGUUAUAAUCACCAUCUUUCAAUAAAAUGGUCUUACAAUCACUGCAGUCAAUUUUUUCUAGCUCUUUGUAAACUGCCCAACCCACAACAUAAUAAAACCCAUUUGACUCGCAGAAAUCCAAUGCCGUUGAAGCAGCUGCAGCAAGUACUGAAAUGGGUGCAUCUGGUUCAAUUUGGUGGUCGGCUGGUCAAUCCGGUGUGGUUUCAUUUGACUUAAUAAAAUCCAGUCAUUGUGCAGUGACAAGAUGCUGGAAGUGGAAAGUUUAAUGCCGGUGAAAAUAGGUUUUCACAUACCAGAUCUAAUGUGCUGAAUUGUAACCAACACCUAAAGAAAAGUUUAAAAAGUAAUACAAAAAAACACAUAAAAGUGUUAUAAUAAUUUCUAUUCCAAGUUUCUAACCUCUUUAAGGAAAUCCACUUUUUUAGUUAAUCCCCUAAAUAAAGCACUCUGC